UCAUGUCAUGUUGCAUAAAACACUUCAUAGAAGUGAUUUCAUUUUGCAUCAAAAUCAUGGUCAUAGUAGAGAAGGAACUCCGUUCGAGUUCAUUGGUCGAAGUCAUUUGAAGUGCUCCUAUGGCUUGACAUGAUCAUUGUAUCUUGGGAGAUGAUUGCCCGAAAAUCGUUAGUGCCGAUGCUUGGCAAAUUCAUUUUAAGGACAAAGUGUUCAAGACUUGCCUCGGCCAAAAUCCAUCACUUGCAUCUUCUCACUUUAUUUUCUGAUUUCUUUUUAUUAUUAAUCUGAUUUAUAUAUUUAUAUUGCAAGGUUCGAUCCAAAGAAUGAUGUGUUUUCACUCAAGGAUGGAAAGAAAAUGAAUCCAGAUUCAUACAUUCAGAAUCGGUAAAUUAUCCAUUCCGCAUGGAUGCCAUUGAAUAGAGAGUUAUGUCGAUUUCAUUAAAAUGGUAUGAAAACAUGCCGCAUAUGCAUUUGCACAUGGAAACAAGUCUCAAAAUAGGUGACUAUCUUUCAUCUCCAAAUUGGUGUGGAAUUACAUGAUACCGGUGUCAGCCAUUGUUUAAUUAAUUGUGGUAAUGGCAAUUCUUGUUGAUUGCCAAUAUGGCUAUGGCACAGAACAUUGACAUUCCUAUGUUCGUUGUUAUUCCUUCUUCACUUUGAAUGUGAUAAAUUUCUGGGCGUUGAGACUAGUUCAAGCCAAACAACGAAUGGAUAGAAGGAGAAAAAUGCUCUAAUCGUUGGUCAUGUAAGGAUGCCAACAUGAACCUUCAUGAUUAUGCCUUUUUAGUGAAAAUUGCUUGAUUGAGAAAACAUGUUCAGACUGGGUUAUGUCCAAGAAUAUUAAUUGUGAAUUUAAUAAUGUUGUAACUGUCAUGAAAUUAUACACGUAUUAUGAAUUAAUUUGGAA